rnacentral:rRNA from 1 species
UACGAAGGGGGCGAGCGUUGUUCGGAAUCACUGGGCGUAAAGGGCGCGUAGGCGGCCCUCCUUGUCGCGUGUGAAAGCCCCGGGCUCAACCUGGGAACGGCGCGCGAGACGGGGGGGCUGGAGUUCGGGAGAGGAGCGUGGAAUUCCCAGUGUAGAGGUGAAAUUCGUAGAUAUUGGGAAGAACACCGGUGGCGAAGGCGGCGAGCUGGUCCAUUACUGACGCUGAGGCGCGACAGCGUGGGGAGCAAACAGG